GGGCCCAUAGCUUAGUUGGUAAGAGCAAUCGACUCAUAAUCGAGAGGUCCCAGGUUCAACUCCUGGUGGGCCCA
rnacentral:tRNA from 1 species